rnacentral:rRNA from 1 species
AAUCUUCCGCAAUGGACGAAAGUCUGACGGAGCAACGCCUCCUGAGUGAGGAAGGUCUUCGGAUCGUAAAAAUCUGUCGUUAGGGAAGAACAAGUAUCGUUCUAAUAGGGCGGUACCUUCACGGUACCUAACCAGAAAGCCACGCCUAACUACGUGCCAGCAGCCGCGGUAAUACGAAGGUUGCAAGCGUUAUCCGGAAUUAUUGGGCGUAAAGCGCGCGCCGGCGGUUUCUUAAGUCUGAUGUGAAAGCCCACGGCUCAACCGUGGAGGGUCAUUGGAAACUGGGAAGCUUGAGUGCAGGAGAGGAGAGUGGAAUUCCAUGUGUAGCGGUGAAAUGCGUAGAGAUAUGGAGGAACACCAGUGGCGAAGGCGACUCUCUGGUCUGCAACUGACGCUGAGGCGCGAAAGCGUGGGGAGCGAACA